rnacentral:lncRNA from 1 species
CAGGUCAGUAAUUGCCCACUGGGAACUAUAAUUUAUAGUUCUCACGCCCCCUGUUUUAUGUUUUCUUUCAGUGCCUUCCACUCCGGGAGGGGCUCGGGAUCGCGGGAAAGGUUUCGCCUCGAGUUAGCUAUCGAGGGUCUUGGCGUUAGGUGGUCCACCUCUCUUUUGUUUUCUUUUGGAGAGGUUGUGAGAGUUUUGUACCUGAUUAUAGAGACCACCCUAUUUUUGUAUCUUGAGACUUAUGAUGUAUCAGUUUACUUUAUGCUUAGUAGUAUGAUUUUCUUUUGAUUCUACCUAAUAUUAGAACCUAGCUAUAUACUUGCUCUGAUAUCUCUAGUUGUAGAUCUUCUCAUGCUUUACUCUUCCGCUUUUGUGUAGACGCCUUAUAUGUGUAGACAUAUGGCGGGUCUGGGCGCGCACCGGGCGGGCCUAUGCCGGGUCCCGGGGCGUGACAGAUUAAUUUGGUAUCAGAGCCUAGGGUUGAGUCUUAGUGGACCUAGCGAACCUUAGGCCGGUUGGACUAUAGGAAUUAGACUCGUGAGAGACGAGGUCUAUUUAACUUAUGAGCGAAAGUAUCAUGAUUGGGUUUUCUUUGAUAACUCCAAAAAGGCUGGAGUUGGAUCGAAGUGUAUGCCUUCUAACUUCGUGGAGGGUUACGUUGGCGGCCGACAACGUAACAUCAGGAGUUAGUAGUUGGGACACUUCUUUACUUUCGCACGAUUUGGGGUGUGGUUAUUUGAGCGGGGUUGCGAUAGCGUGGGUUAUAUUAACUUGCACUUUUAUGAUGUUGUAGUGUUGAUGCCGACUACACGCUCUAAGUCUAUUAGAACGGACGAGGCGGCGACUUUUGAGGAAGCGGAGACAUCCGCUACCUCCCGAUCCAGUGAGGUUCGUGAGUUGAGGAGCCAACUUGCCGCCCUCACUGAUUUGGUGACGCAGCAGGCGGCGGCGGCCCAGCAGCAGGCGGACACGGCACGACGGCAGGAGGCACGGAUGCAGCGCCUGGAGGAUCUUCUAUUACAGCAGGCAGCUGUUAGGGAGGCUCAGGUCUCGGUACUACCCGCGCCAGUGGAGACAGUUGCGCCCGGGGGGUUGUCCCCUGUACUCGACACUUCGCAGACGACACUUACGGUAGCCCCUCGGGGGGAGGUAUUGGCAGCACCACCAGCUCAGGUGCCUGUGGCAGCGGCGACUUUUUCCUUGAUGGUUGAAAGAGCGGAGCGGCAGCGGCUCAUGGAUCGCCUCGAUGAGUUCCGGAGGUGCGAUCCCAGGAUCUUUGAUGGAGAGGAGGCCGACCACUGGAUCGUUGAGAAGUGGUUGAUGCAUAUGGAGAAGUUAUUCCGCGACACCUUCGUGGAGGAGAGAGAUAGAGUUUGGCUCGCCACUCACCAUUUGGACGGCGAGGCCUAUAGUUGGUGGGUGGGCAUCCAGGAUAAUCCCAACACCGACCUAGCAGCGAUUUCUUGGAAAAGAUUCAAGGAGCUCUUAUUGGAGCAUUACUUCCUCGUCCGCGUGAAGAGGAAAAUGGAGCAGGAUCUGCGCGAGAUGCGCCAGGGGGAUCAGACUGUGGCCGAGUACGAGAGGGAGUUCUCUCAGCUUCUACACUAUGCGCCCUUUGUUGUACGGGAUGACGAGGAUAAGGCUCGCACCUUCGAGCGAGGACUUCGGCCGUCGAUUUUACGGUUGGUGCAACCCUUCCACCUUCAGACUUACCAAGAUGUGGUGAACCGCGCUCUCAUCGUGGAAAGCUGCGCGGCAGAUUUGCAGGAGCGUCAAAAAGGCUCGAACAAAGGACAGGACAAGAAGCCCGCGACUGAGAGUGCGAAUCAGACGCACUCUGGGAGGCCGCCGAAACAUUCCAGGAACCGGAGCCAGUUGCGAGGACGUGGCUCAUCAGCACGGCAUAGAGGAUCCGAGCGUCGUCAGACGCUGAGCUGCGUGAUCUGCGGUGGUCGUCAUUACCCGCAGCAGUGCUCUCAGAGGCAGGGCAGGUGCUACUCGUGUGGCCAGGAGGGUCACUUCCAGUCAGACUGUCUGAGAGGUUUAGUAGCAGCGCCAUCUUCAGCAUCGGUACCAGUAUUACCGGAUCCCAGCCAGGGGACGCCUUUUUCUCACUAUCAGGCCGGGAGGCUACCCGUCCUGAGACAGACGGAGGGGUCACGACGGGCCCCGAGCGGGCGUAUGUAUGCGGCCCAGACUGAGAAGGCGGCAGCAGCCGAGUUUGUGAUUUCAGGUAUCAGUCCCUCUUGUGGCAUUUGAGUUGUGCAUUGUUUGCUAUUGGUGCAUUGCAUCUAUAUUCUGAUCGGCUAUUCGCCGAGUUGCAUGGCAUUUCGUUAGUUCGAUGUUUGCGACAUUGUGUAGCCCCUCGAGCUAGGCGAUUGAUUUGCGGGUUGCGGGUAGCAUAUUUUGCUAUGCUUGUAGAUCUCACGAGGAUUGCAUUAGUUGUAUCCCUGGCUCGGCUGUUUGCCGGAUGGUGCUUGGAGACGACCGUGCCUGGACCAUUUGGGGACUGUGGAGCCUGGGCCCGUUGGGCAGGCGCAGUCGGCUGUGUGUGACAGCGGCCCGGUACCUGUUGGUAGGGCAGAGUUUUGGUCAGGAUGGUAGUCCGAGCCUGGACCCUGGAGCGUGGAAAGCCACGUGUUGGAUCGUGAGAUCGAGGACACACUGAGUGUGUAGUUACCCAACCCGAGGAUUUGUUAGCGUUGAGCCUUUUGGCGCGUGUGGAUGAUCGGUUGAUCGGGUGUGUCGUUUCGAACGCCCUACCCCGUGAGAUGGUUCUGUGUGCCAACAAAUAGAUUGGCCUUCCUUGGUGUGGAAUUGUUGUGGGUACCUGGUACCCUUGGAUUGCGAGCUGACUUGACUCGCUUUGAGGACUGUGAGCACGAAAUAGUGCGAUUUGAGGAUUUACUUCCGCUAGAUGUGUUGAUUGUCUCCCUUACCUAAAAUUGGGUAAGUGUUGGAGAGGGUUUAGGGCCUGAGUGGCCAUUAGCUUUGGGUGGUCGAGAAUCCUUGAAAUAAAGGAUGUUCUUGAUCGGUCGUUGUGUCCCCGAUCGAGUCACUAAUAGUUAGCUCGAUUGGCGGGGAGGUUCUAUAGUUGGUGUUUUGCUUCGUGGAGGAGCAGUCUCACUUGUUGUGGGACCGGUUGGGCCGUUUCGACGGUAUGUCGACUAUCGUGAUUCAAAUUGAACCACGACUUGGUGUUUGGACAGCGUUGAGGCCCAAUGAUCUUGUCAAUUGGCCUUGAGUUGUUGGUGUACUCGAUAAGAUUGUAAGCAAUCUGAGUAGUGCCAUUUGAUGUUGGAGUUUGAGGUCACACCUCAAACGGGUCAUGAUGCUAGGUUGGAACCUCACAUGGAUGAUGUUGCCAAGACUGUAGUACUCCACCAGUGGAAGGGAUUUGCGGAAUGAUAAUCCCGAGCCGUGUGUGGAUUUGUGGACCAGUCGCGGAUGACUUGGGGUAUUUUUAUAGGAUGCGCGAGUUUAGACCGCAUGGGCAUGUUUGAAGCAAUCGAGUUGUGAAACUCUCACUGAUGGAUGGAGAUUCUGUGAGGGGGGAAUGUACCAAGUGCUGAUUUUUUCCCGUGUCUUGAGCUUGUACGAGGAUUUGAGCUCUUCGAGAUAGAACUGCAUAUGAGGACUUAUGGGAUUAAUUUUGGCUUGAUAGUCGCAUCAGAGUGACCUUGAUAGAGAGCUGUUAUCGAACCGUGGAUUGACCCUUCUCUAUUGCGUGAACUGAGCUCGAUGGCUACCGACACCUGGAGCUUCCGUGACUAGGGGAAAGCUUUGAGAUCGAAUCUCUAAGGGUUUGCUUGGACUUGAGUUCGGACUAAGAUAAUAAUCUUAGUGAUUUAAUGAAGCUUUUGAGCUUGGUCCGUGACCAUGUAUUGCGGAGAAUGGAGGGUACUCCCGAGUGGUGAGUUCGAGAUUGAUGUGGAGACAUCGUAGCGCAGUGCCGAAUGAGGAACCAAGUAAUCGCCAUGAUGGGCGAGUUUGGACGACCAGUUGAUUUCUGUUACUCUUGGGAAGUUGGCUACCGUGGUGGUGGAUUUGGAACCGUCCGUGCCCAGCAAGGUUGGACGGAUGAAUGGACGUUGUGAAUGGCAGUGGGAUGGAAAUUACACUGUACUUAAACUGGAUUGGAUUACGCUUAGUUAUGCCAUCUCGAGAAGAGACUUGAUUUAGGAUCAUUGUUGGAAUAUGAGCCGAUUAGCAGAUGUUGCAUCACCUCUCCUCGGUGAGCGUUGAUCUGAUGAGCACUUCGAUGGUGUUUGGAUAGAUGAGUAAAGGAUUUAACCCCCAUAUGCUUGCUUUGGACAGUGCCUUUGAAUCCACCUUAAGGGGCGUUUGGAUGUAAUCCUAUAUACCAGAGUAUUUGAAGCAGAGCAAGGCUUUACCCCCGACUUGGGCGAGAUAGGUGAGAAUUGGAAUUCAGCUUUCGGAAACACUUGAUUCCUGAGAACCGAUUGGAGGACUUGAAAUCAAGCGCGGAUUGAAGAUGGAACUUUCGGUGAAGACUUGAGUUCAAGGAGCUUAUGCGGAAGUUUGGGUUGUGUUAUGCCAAAGCCUUGGCGUCGCGAGAUCUUGUUGUGUUUGCGCCUUGGAGUUUUCCGGCACACCUGUGACCAUCAUGGUCUGUUUGGGGAGCUGCUGGAGCGCUUCUUCCAUCAUCUUCGGAUGGGUUUGUUGUGUGGUUGACCCGCAGUUUCGCGGACGAAACUCCUUUUUAGGAGGGGAGAAUGUAACACACUGGACCUUUGCAAAUUGCGAGGUUCGAGUGUUUGGAUUGUGUCCUGAGCUUUUCCAGAUUUUCUGGUGGAUCGUUGACAGUGUUCCGACCUAUGGUUCGAAUCCCGAGAAUUGUAGUAUUUUAUGUAGCGCUAAGGUCACUAAAGAGUUGGACUUAGCCUACCGUCGGAUUGCAUUCUGCACGAGGUGUAACCGGUGACAGGUCGAUGGCUGUACCGGUACACAUUUUGUACCUGUACACUUCUGAUGGUUGUACCGGUACACUUGCGGCGAAUUUCGAACCCGAGCCUCGGGUUUGCAUUUUCGUAGGAUGUGUACCGGUACACUUUCCCGUGUACCGGUACACUUUGGCAGUUUUCGAACAGUUCGAACUGCAGGGGUGUUUUUGCAUUGUUGCACCUCUAUAUGAUACCCCACGCCUCCCCUUUGGUUUCCUGAGCCCAGAACUCAGAGGAAACAGGUGAGAGAGCUCCUCCUUGCCUCAUUUUGGAUUUCAUCUUCCUUUUUCUUGGUUUUUAGGUGGUUUUUGCUCUCUUUUGCCUUUUAGAGCAUUUCCCACCAUUGUUGGAGGCUUGGAUCUUGGAGAGGAGCUCAUUGGAGAGGAGAACUUCAACCCUAGUUGGUUUGGGGCCUUGUUGGGAGCUUCUUAAGAGGUUAGAUGCUUGUUCUCUCCUCUUGAUUUGUAUUUUGAUGGUGGAUUUGAGAUGAAACCCUAGAAUGUGAGUUUAGGGUUGAUUUUGGGCAUUUUGAUUCUUGGGCCUUUUGAGCUAAAUUGAUUGGAUUAGAACCUUUAUCUAGGUUGCAUUGGAAGGGAUCUAGCUUCCAUUUGGAGCUUAAAAGGGAUUUUCUACACUUAGGUGAGAUUUUAGCCCUUUUUGCCUUGAUGGUUAAUGUUUGAGUUUCGGGUUGUUCGUUUCGUUUGGGUAACCCUCGUUUUGAUGCUUCUAGGGUACUAGGAGUCUUGUGGGCACCUCCGUUCGGCGAAACGAAGGUUUCGAUUUUGGUGGGUUUGGCCUCACCUAGAUGAGAUAAACUUCUCAUAUGAGGGUUUUUAUUUAUCGUAAAGUGAAAACGCAUGCAUAUUCUUAUUGGAUAGAAUAUUUGAGAAUUUUAGAAUGCUUAAAUUGCACAUGUCAUAUACCAUGCAUAUUUGACCUCUAUAUAGUAGAGAGUCUUCAUGUUGGGCUAGGGGCCUAUGGUUAGCAUUCUUACGUUGAUUGAGAUCACGUUGCAUACGGUGCAUAUGGCAUAUAGAUUACACUCUUGGACUUAGAACGCAUGAUUUACAUGGUUGGACAUAUCGACAUUAAGUGACAUAGGCUAGAGUGUAUACAAAUAGUAAGCUAAUGUCAUAAAGCGGCAUUGGGCUUGGACUAGAUAUGGACUUAGCAAGCUAAUGUCAUAAAGCGGCAUUAGACUUGAUGGAUAUGUAAAUUGCAUGUGCAUGUUAUUACUAUGAGAAUUAUGCCAAGUUAAUAGUUGCAAUGGAAAGAACAUACAUGUAGCAAUAUGAGAACACGCUAGAGAGCAUGUGUACUAAUCUAUUAUUGAUAGAACAAGCUAACGUCUUAAAGAGACAUAGAAUGUGAAUUGAGCUUAGAUUAUAGCAAUGUUUAAGUGUCAUAAAGAGGCACUAAACAUAGUGAAUGUGGGAACUUCCCCUUGAGAUUUGGACUUAGUAAAGCUAAGGUCAUUGACAUCGAAAUUAUUGAACGGUUAAACCUUCACUUGAGGCAUAGACUAGACACUGGGGUUGCUAGUGUGCAUUUCCAUGUUAGAGACAUGAUGACUGUUGAGUUGCAUUUUCAUGUUGGAGACAUGACGAUUGGACUAUUGAGGUUUUGACCAUGCUUGCUUGCCAUUUGUGCUCAUACGCACAUGCUUGUGAGGGUCGCUCCCCACAAGCCGGCACUCCGGAGUUAGCCUACGCGACUUAUGUUCGCCCGUGCGGUAUCGAGUAGCCUACGGGGCCUGGAGGGAUAGACUCAUUCCUAGAGUGGGAAUGCUGGAGCUACCACUGGCACUUAGGCGGCACAAGCCGGACUACACCCGUGUAGAUCCUGAAUGAGAUUGAACCAGAAUACUAAACAACAAUUGACAAUCACUACUAGAUAGGUUAUAGUAGCUGAAUUUUCUUGACAUGCUAUGGGAUAGGGUUGGACUUUUGGGAUAUUUAGUGUACUUGACAUUAUCGCUUAUUGCAUUGUAGUACACCUUGCUGCCAGGAUAGUACAUACUAGAUAUGUAGUGGGCUCUGGAAUAUAUAUAUCACACUUUAUAGCAUUACUUGUUGCAUCACGACACAUUGUUUAAGUUUUGGGCAUAUUGGAUCAUGUAGAGUAGAUGUACUCCAUGUUGACAUUCAGAAUACUUGUGGCAUAGUAGAGUAGCAUUUUAAUUUCAUGCUUCAAUUACUGUUGAUAUUUUCUGUUAUCAUUAUUUGCUCGUUUGGGGCCUAGUGGUGCGAUUUGGUGCAGGUCAGUAAUUGCCCACUGGGAACUAUAAUUUAUAGUUCUCACGCCCCCUGUUUUAUGUUUUCUUUCAGAGCCUUCCACUCCGGGAGAGGCUCGGGAUCGCGGGAAAGGUUUCGCCUCGAGUUAGCUAUCGAGGGACUUGGUGAUAGGUGGCCCACCUCUCUUUUGUUUUCUUCUAGAGAGGUUGUGAGAGUUUUGUACCUGGUUAUAGAGACCAUCCUAUUUUUGUAUCUUGAGACUUAUGAUGUAUCAGUUUACUUUAUGCUUAGUAGUAUGAUCUUCUUUUGAUUCUACCUAAUGUUAGAACCUAGCUAUAUACUUGCUCUGAUAUCUCUAGUUGUAGAUCUUCUCUUGCUUUACUCUUCCGCUUUUGUGUAGACGCCUUAUAUGUGUAGACAUAUGGCGGGUCUGGGCGCGCACCGGGCGGGCCUAUGCCGGGUCCCGGGGCGUGACAGAGGUGCUGUCCGUUCGGCGUCUGUUCGACGUAUCCGAACUGGCCAAAUAGGAUUGAGUUCGGGGCGUGACAGCACGGCAUGUUCCUCUCCUACCGAGGGAUCCCUAACCGCGGGUGCACGGCAUGGUUCCUCUCCUAUCGGGCUGCUCGGUAUAUGGAUUGUAGGCUGAGGUGCACGGUAGGUUCC